rnacentral:rRNA from 1 species
UACGAAGGGGGCUAGCGUUGUUCGGAAUUACUGGGCGUAAAGCGCACGUAGGCGGCUAUUCAAGUCAGAGGUGAAAGCCUGGAGCUCAACUCCAGAACUGCCUUUGAAACUAGAUAGCUAGAAUCAUGGAGAGGUGAGUGGAAUUCCGAGUGUAGAGGUGAAAUUCGUAGAUAUUCGGAAGAACACCAGUGGCGAAGGCGGCUCACUGGACAUGUAUUGACGCUGAGGUGCGAAAGCGUGGGGAGCAAACAGG